AAAGAACCCUAUUCCCCUCACAGAGCUACAAUUUCCAGUGUGACUUGUAUCCCUCUUUCACAGGGAACUCUGGGAAUCAUAGCUCUGUGAGGGGAAUAGGGGUCUC